rnacentral:rRNA from 1 species
GCUAACGCGUUAAGUCGACCGCCUGGGGAGUACGGCCGCAAGGUUAAAACUCAAAUGAAUUGACGGGGGCCCGCACAAGCGGUGGAGCAUGUGGUUUAAUUCGAUGCAACGCGAAGAACCUUACCUGGUCUUGACAUCCACGGAAGUUUUCAGAGAUGAGAAUGUGCCUUCGGGAACCGUGAGACAGGUGCUGCAUGGCUGUCGUCAGCUCGUGUUGUGAAAUGUUGGGUUAAGUCCCGCAACGAGCGCAACCCUUAUCCUUUGUUGCCAGCGGUCCGGCCGGGAACUCAAAGGAGACUGCCAGUGAUAAACUGGAGGAAGGUGGGGAUGACGUCAAGUCAUCAUGGCCCUUACGACCAGGGCUACACACGUGCUACAAUGGCGCAUACAAAGAGAAGCGACCUCGCGAGAGCAAGCGGACCUCAUAAAGUGCGUCGUAGUCCGGAUUGGAGUCUGCAACUCGACUCCAUGAAGUCGGAAUCGCUAGUAAUCGUGGAUCAGAAUGCCACGGUGAAUACGUUCCCGGGCCUUGUACUCACCGCCCGUC